AUUGAACGCUGGCGGCAGGCCUAACACAUGCAAGUCGGGCGAGCGUCGGACGGGUGAGUAAUGUAUGGGGAUCUUCCUGAUGGCGGGGGAUAACUCCUGUAAACGGUAGCUAAUACCGCAUACCAUCAGAUGAACCCAUAUGGGAUUAGCUUGUAGGUGAGGUAACGGCUCACCUAGGCGACGAGCCCUAGCUGGUCUGCGAGGAUGCUCAGCCACACUGGGACUGAGACACGGCCCAGACUCCAACGGCAGGAAGCAGUGGGGAAUAUUGCACAAGGGGCGCAAGCCUGAUGCAGCCAGGCCGAGUGUAUGAAGAAGGCAUGAGGGUUGUAGAGUACUUUCAGCGGGUAGGCGUUACCCGCAGAAGAAGCACCGGCUAACUCAGUGCCAGCCGCCGCGGUAAUAC
rnacentral:rRNA from 1 species